ensembl:misc_RNA 7SK 7SK RNA
AGAUGUGAGGGCGAUCUGGCUGCAACAUCUGUCACCCCAUUGGUCACCAGGGCUAAUUCAGCUGGUCUGGCUGUCUGGGCAAUUGUACCUCUUGAAUCUGUACUCUCAGCGGAAGAGGACGGCUUUCCCUGAUGAAGGAGGAGGGUUUCUAGGUCAAGGGUAUGUGAGUAGCUGCACUCCCCUGCUAGAACCUCCAAACAAGCUCUCAAGCUAGGCUCUGAGUGUCAAGAGUUUUAUCAGCUCAUCCUAUACUCAGAUGACACUGCAUCACAAACAUGUUUUUGUGAAAUGAAAUGUG